rnacentral:rRNA from 1 species
GGGUGAGUAACACGUGGGUAACCUACCUAUAAGACUGGGAUAACUUCGGGAAACCGGAGCUAAUACCGGAUAACAUUUGGAACCGCAUGGUUCUAAAGUGAAAGAUGGUUUUGCUAUCACUUAUAGAUGGACCCGCGCCGUAUUAGCUAGUUGGUAAGGUAACGGCUUACCAAGGCGACGAUACGUAGCCGACCUGAGAGGGUGAUCGGCCACACUGGAACUGAGACACGGUCCAGACUCCUACGGGAGGCAGCAGUAGGGAAUCUUCCGCAAUGGGCGAAAGCCUGACGGAGCAACGCCGCGUGAGUGAUGAAGGGUUUCGGCUCGUAAAACUCUGUUAUUAGGGAAGAACAAACGUGUAAGUAACUGUGCACGUCUUGACGGUACCUAAUCAGAAAGCCACGGCUAACUACGUGCCAGCAGCCGCGGUAAUACGUAGGUGGCAAGCGUUAUCCGGAAUUAUUGGGCGUAAAGCGCGCGUAGGCGGUUUCUUAAGUCUGAUGUGAAAGCCCACGGCUCAACCGUGGAGGGUCAUUGGAAACUGGGAAACUUGAGUGCAGAAGAGGAAAGUGGAAUUCCAUGUGUAGCGGUGAAAUGCGCAGAGAUAUGGAGGAACACCAGUGGCGAAGGCGACUUUCUGGUCUGUAACUGACGCUGAUGUGCGAAAGCG